rnacentral:rRNA from 1 species
UAUCUCUGUAGAGUCUGCAUAUCAAUAAGCGGAGGAAAAGAAACUAACAAGGAUUCCCUUAGUAACGGCGAAUGAAGCGGGAAGAGCUCAAAUUUGAAAUCUUCAAGGUUUUACCUUGACGAAUUGUAGUUUAAAGAAGUGUUUUCUGUUGGUGUUUUGGUAAAAGUUCUUUGGAAUAGGACAUCAUAGAGGGUGAGAAUCCCGUAUUUGACCAUUACUUCCAGCGUUGUGAUACACUUUCAAAGCGUCGGAUUGUUUGGGAAUGCAGUCCAAAAUGGGUGGUAAAUUUCAUCUAAAGCUAAAUAUUGGCGAGAGACCGAUAGCGAACAAGUACCGUGAGGGAAAGAUGAAAAGAACUUUGAAAAGAGAGUUAAACAGUACGUGAAAUUGUCAAAAGGGAAGCGUUUGACACCAGUGUUGUUUCUACGAAAAUCAAUUUAUGAUGGCUUGAUGCUAAGCUUUAAGACUUUAUCCGCUUGUUGUUUAGUUUUCUUGUCUUUGUGAAUGCACUUUUCGUGGAACAAGUCAACAUCAAUUUCUUUUGCUGUAAAAGGGUAAGAGGAAGGUGGCUUCGGCUUCGGUUGAAGUGUUUAUAGCCUUCUAUCUCUGCAGUCGGAGAGAUUGAGGUCUGCAGCGUAGACUCUUCGGGGUUAGAUACGUCGGUGCUAAGCUAUAGCUUUUCAUAGACAACUUGUUGACUAUGUUUAGUCAUGUGGCUUACCCGCUGGCGCUAUUUUACCUACGCUUAGGAUGUUGAGUCAUCACACAUCUCU